rnacentral:rRNA from 1 species
UACGGGGGGAGCAAGCAUUGUUCGGAAUCACUGGGCGUAAAGGGCGUCUAGGCGGUUCGGUAAGUGGGAUGUGAAAUGCCGGGGCUCACCCCGGGACCUGCAUCCCAAACUGCUGAGCUUGAGUACAGGAGAGGGUAGGGGAAUUCCAGGUGUAGCGGUGAAAUGCGUAGAUAUCUGGAGGAACACCGGUGGCGAAGGCGCCUACCUGGCCUGUUACUAACGCUGAAGCGCGAAAGCUAGGGGAGCAAACGGG